rnacentral:rRNA from 1 species
AACGAACGCUGGCGGCAUGCCUAACACAUGCAAGUCGAACGAGACCUUCGGGUCUAGUGGCGCACGGGUGCGUAACGCGUGGGAACCUGCCCUUAGGUUCGGAAUAACUCCCCGAAAGGGGUGCUAAUACCGGAUAAUGUCUUCGGACCAAAGAUUUAUCGCCUUUGGAUGGGCCCGCGUUGGAUUAGCUAGUUGGUAGGGUAAAAGCCUACCAAGGCGACGAUCCAUAGCUGGUCUGAGAGGAUGAUCAGCAACACUGGGACUGAGACACGGCCCAGACUCCUACGGGAGGCAGCAGUGGGGAAUAUUGGACAAUGGGCGAAAGCCUGAUCCAGCAAUGCCGCGUGAGUGAUGAAGGCCUUAGGGUUGUAAAGCUCUUUUACCCGGGAUGAUAAUGACAGUACCGGGAGAAUAAGCUCCGGCUAACUCCGU